AGGAAAAACAGAUUGAAAUAUUCAUUUAGUAAUUGCGACAAACACAUAACCUGCAUAAACAAAGGAAGCAUCCUCACUCACCCUGUUCCAGUAAUUUGAUAGAGAAAGAAGUCAUCAUCCUCACCUUGAAUCAAGCUAGCUGAAGACGGCUGCGUCUGAGAAUUUACAUAACCAUCUUGGCGGCGGCGGAACACAGACCUCGCUCUAUUUCUGUAUUUCGCUCAAUCAAUCACGGACGAAGAGCAAAGUCUCACACUUUGAGUGGUUGCAGUUGUGAUUUCAAUGGAGUUUAGUCUUUAUCCAUGAAAAUUAUGUCAAGAUUCAAAUGUUACAGCAUCACCUUGCGGGCUACUCCCCGCCUCAUAGCAGUAGUAAACAUAGCUCUUCAGCUUCCGAGGUUCUAUUCUGUGGAGGUAUCUGAGUCGAGGGCUAGGCCCAAGGCGUCGUCAAGUAAUCACCAAGAUAUAGUCAAUGAGUUCUCCGCGUAUUGCUAUCAAAAGGACCUUCCCAAUGCAAUGAAAGCAUUGGACUCUAUGCAUAAACACAAGCUAUGGGCAGACUCAGUCACUUACGCGGAGCUCAUUAAGUGCUGCAUAGCCCGUGGAGCCGUUAAACAAGGAAAGCAAGUCCACCACCAUGUUUUCUCAAAUGGCUACGAGCCCAAGACUUUCCUUAUCAACACACUUGUUAACAUGUAUGUGAAAUUCAAUUUGCUGGAUGAAGCGCAGGUAUUGUUUGACCGGAUGCUGGAGAGGAAUGUCGUCUCAUGGACUACUAUGAUUGCUGCAUACUCUAAUUCCGAGCACAAGUAUAAGGCCUUGCAGAUGCUGAUUAUGAUGCUUAGGGAUGGUGUUAGACCGAACAUGUACACGUAUUCUUCAGUUCUGAGAGCCUCUGAGGAGAUUUCUACCCUCAAACAGCUUCACUGUUGCAUAAUCAAGGUGGGUUUGGAGUUGGAUGUUUUUGUCAGAAGUGCUUUGAUCGAUGUUUACUGCAAAUGGGGUGAACCGAAAGCAGCUCUUUACAUAUUCGAUGAGAUGGGAACUUCGGAUAUAGUGGUGUGGAACUCCAUCAUUGGCGGGUUCUCUCAGAACAGUGAUGGAGAUGAAGCCCUCAAUCUCUUCAUCAGAAUGAAGAGAACUGGUUUCUGGGCUGAUCAGUCGACUCUAACAAGUGUUCUGCGUGGUUGCACUGGUUUAGCGCUGUUGGAGUUGGGGCGACAAGUCCAUGUUCACGUCAUCAAGUUUGAUCGAGACUUGGUCCUUAACAAUGCCCUUCUAGACAUGUAUUGCAAGUGUGGUAGUUUGAAAGAUGCCAACGCCAUCUUCACUCGAAUGGUUGUAAAAGACGUGAUCUCUUGGAGCACCAUGGUGAUAGGGUUUGCCCAAAACGGUUACAGCCGGAAAGCUAUAGAUUUAUUUGAGGCGAUGAGAGCUACGGGGAUGAAACCGAAUCACAUCACAAUUUUGGGGGUUCUGUUUGCCUGCAGCCAUGCUGGACUAGUGGAAGACGGGCAGUAUUACUUUGACUCGAUGAAGAUGGACUUCGGAGUUGAUCCGGGAAGGGACCAUUACGGCUGCAUGAUUGAUCUCCUUGGAAGAGCAGGGAAGCUCGAGGAAGCUACGAAGCUAAUUCAUGAAAUGAAAUGUGAACCAGAUGCAGUGACAUGGAGAACUCUGCUCGGUGCGUGUAGGGUUCACUGUGAUAUGGAUCUAGCUGAGUAUGCUGCCAAAAAGGUUUUGAGCUUGGAUCCUCGUGACGCAGGAACGUACACGCUUCUAUCUAAUAUCUACGCCAACAGCCAAAGAUGGGACGAGGCUGCGAAGUUGAGGAGACUCAUGAGGGAUAGAGGGAUCAAGAAAGAACCGGGAUGCAGUUGGAUCGAGAUAGAUAAGCAAGUUCACGCUUUCUUGUUGGGCGACGAAGCUCAUCCGCAGAUCAAUGCUAUUCAUCAAGAGCUGAGCCGUGUGAUUCGGAGAUUAAAGGAGGAGGGUUACGUGCCAGACACGAAUUUCGUGUAUCAAGAUCUUGAAGGAGAACAGAUGGAGAACUCUCUUGUAUACCACAGUGAGAAGCUGGCGAUUGCUUUCGGUAUUAUGAGGCUGCCUAAAGGGAAGACAGUAAGAAUCAGAAAAAAUCUGAGGAUAUGUGGCGACUGCCAUGUUUUCGCAAAGCUUUUGGCGAAAAUGGAGGAGAGAAGCAUCAUCAUCCGGGAUCCUAUUCGUUACCAUCAUUUUCACGACGGAGCUUGCUCUUGCGGUGACUACUGGUAGCGUGAAACGAACACGCUCACAGAGCUGAUUUGCAGCCAUAUAUGACCUUCUUCAACUCAGUUGAAGUGAGCUGAUUUGCAGCCAUAUAUGACCUUCUUCAACUCAGUUGAAGUAUGCUACUCAGAUUAUACUCUCUGGUAUAGGAGGACGCGAUACUGCAAAAUCUGCUUGCCGUGUGCAGCCCUUUGCUCGAAUCGCGAUUACGGAUUACUUGCUGGUGAGAUUAUGCUCAAUGAGUUUGAAGAUGGAUGGUUACAGGCUUCAUUUCUUUGGUGGUAUCAAAUCUAUGGAGAAAAAUUCCAACUUAUACUCCCUCUGUCUCGCGAAGCUUGAGUAAUAUCUUUUCGGCUCGAGCUUUAAAAAGUUAGUAUUUUAUGUGUCAAGUGUAGUAGGUGAUAAAGUGAAAAGGUGAAUGAAGAGAAAUUUUUUUGCCAUAUAAGAAAAGUGAUAAAGCUUCGAGCGACAACCCAAAAAUGAACACUGCUCAAGCUUCUAGGGACGGAGGGAAUAUUUCACAGCUGCAGAAAGCACCAUCAUUCUCUCUUUGUUAAAUGUAGUUAAUCUUUUUUUGACAUAUGAAAUGUUUGCAAUACUUUUUGGGAA